AGCGAACGCUGGCGGCAGGCCUAACACAUGCAAGUCGAACGAACUCUUCGGAGUUAGUGGCGGACGGGUGAGUAACACGUGGGAACGUGCCUUUAGGUUCGGAAUAACUCAGGGAAACUUGUGCUAAUACCGAAUGUGCCCUUCGGGGAAAGAUUUAUCGCCUUUAGAGCGGCCCGCGUCUGAUUAGCUAGUUGGUGAGGUAAAGGCUCACCAAGGCGACGAUCAGUAGCUGGUCUGAGAGGAUGAUCAGCCACAUUGGGACUGAGACACGGCCCAAACUCCUACGGGAGGCAGCAGUGGGGAAUCUUGCGCAAUGGGCGAAAGCCUGACGCAGCCAUGCCGCGUGGAUGAUGAAGGUCUUAGGAUUGUAAAAUUCUUUCACCGGGGACGAUAAUGACGGUACCCGGAGAAGAAGCCCCGGCUAACUUCGUGCCAGCAGCCGCGGUAAU
rnacentral:rRNA from 1 species